UGGAUAACACAGAUUCUGAAAAUGAAAUUGUGCAGAGUGGUGUAGAUGGUGGUAGUAACUUACCAACAAAAGAUGAUUGAGGAUCAAUUGUUCAAAAUAUUCUGCUCGAUAUUAAAAAAAGAAUUCAACUUUUAUUAUUAGACGAAUGACAUAAAUAAUCCAAUCAGAAGUAUGUUUGUCAACAAAUGAAUGCACAAUUGUUAUAUUGAUUAAUUAAUUUAAUUUACCAUUUACUGUUUUAUUUAUUAAAUAAUUUACUAAUUUAAUUAUAAAAAUUAUAUAAUUUUGCUUUAUUUAUAUUUCUAAAAAAAAUGUUAUCGAUUUCCUAAUUGUAAUGUUUCACAUCUUUGAUAGUAUAAUAAUAUCUUGAUGA